rnacentral:lncRNA from 1 species
UCAAAAACAAUACAUAAUUUAUUAUUCCAUCAAUGAAAAAAUAAUUGAUUAACAAGAGCUUGAUUGAACAGAAGAGACAUCUUUAAAAAAAUGGCGCCGAUUGUAUAAAACACGUGUGACAUUAGAAAAACACGUUUUUAAAAUAAACUUUCCCUUUUGGCUCUAAGAUAUUAUCGUUUUUCUUUUCUCCUGUAGGGUGAUUCUCGUGAAAGAAAGAAGGGAAAAAAUCGUAAGAAAAAAAAAGAAGGGGAAAAACCUGUUGAAUCGCGUGGGAGUAGUAAUCGGACAACACGAAGGAGCUUCCGCUUUCAGAACUGCAUCGUUAAACCACACAGGCAUCUAUACUUCCCCUAAAUUCCCCUUAUUUUUCAGUAGCUCGUUUACCGAGGCACAGAUUUUAUUUCGACACGGUUUUAUAUUCGAAAAUAAGAUAAAAUAAAAAUAAGAAGAAAGAGAAGAAGAAGAAGAAGAGAUGGGAGAGACAAGUCGAGUUUCGUCGAUAUCGCGUUCAACCGCCUACUAACCCACAUUAGAUUUCUUCUGAAUCGCACGUAGAAAGAUAUGCGGUUAGUUUUCUAAAGCCUUCGCCAUCUUGAAAAUCUUGCUAAACGAAAAUCACGUAUAACGUAAGUAAGAACGUAAAAGAUGCAUAUUCCUGGACCAAUGGGAAUUGAAUUUCUUGGCUUUUUGUUCCAACCAAAAGAUUUCCGCCAAGAGAUCGGCCAAAAUAAACGAAGACUGCUGUGAUCUUUAACAAGCAAACUGAUGGAAGAGUGAAUCGAUGAAUCUUCUUUGUCGAUGAUUUUCUUCCAAGGAAAAAUAGCAGAUUUUUCGAGAACGAAAAUGUUUUUCCAUUUUCCAUCCAUCUUUGAUAAAAGUAAUUGUCUAUCUGUCUUUUUUUUAACUAUAACUGUCUGUCUGUCCAUCCGUCUGUCAGUUAGUAAGUCAGUCCGUCUACCGUGUUAAAGAUUUGCCUAUUUAUUCAACGACGCCGCUGACCAGCUAACCUUCUCGUUCGCGGUCAUAGUUUAAACGUUCUAAUAAAACAGCAGUCCUAUUAUUAGUCGCGACACUGACUUGCUACUGCUAUUGCCGUUGCUUAAUUAAGUAACAAGCCCGCAAAUCGGACUCGCGCGUUUAUUACCAUAUAUCAUACGGUUUAUUACCUACCACCACGUCAUGAAUUAUUCUGCUAAAAUAUUAUCCAUUUCAUUUUUUUCUUAAUAAAACAACAAAAUUUGAUAUAUCGCAAAUUUCGAUACUCGUAAAUAUAUAAAUAUUUACUAAUAUUCGAUCAAAAUGUAAUUAGGCGAAAGGAAUAAAAAAAAAAAAGGGAGAAAAAAAAGUUAAAACAAAGAAGAAAUGAGACUUAUGCGUUAGAUGCUUUUUAUUAGAUGUCACGUACUAUCUACGAAAUUUAAUUGUCAUUAACAAUUCUAUGCACGUCUUGCGUUCCAACACGCUUACACACAUAUUUACAUAUACACAAGGAACACAUUUGCGUUCGCACGCGCCUACCCAACGACGCGACCCACUUACUCUGCCGACCAUCCGCUCUUGUGUCUUAUUCGUUUUCCCCGUGUACAUAGAACCGAGCCAAAGAAAAAGAGAAAAAAAAGUCAACAAGAAGAGUUUAGUAGAAGACCAAGGGAGGCAAACAACGAAUCCGAUAGAAAACUAAACCACUUCGGUAUAUGUAGUAUGCGUUUAUGAUCUAGGUAAUAUAUAUGUGUGGACUACAACUACAACGACGUUCGCGAUCCACUUGGCCGGUUAACGAGGAAAUCGAGCGACCCUGAUGACGACGAUGCUUUCUAUCACGAUCCUCUUCGUUAGAGAACCGUGGAACGAACGCGAGCUUUUACUUACUUACACCACACCAGUGGUUCUUCAAUAUACAAUAUUACUCUUUCCUUUUUCUUUUCUUUCAAUCGACUAAUAUAGGAUUAUCGUAUGAAAUGAAGAAAAAUUUUUAAUUAGAAUUGUAUUAUAUAGUUCUCAAAUUUUCAUUUCGAAAAAUAAUUUUCUUCUUUUUCUUUUGUAGGGAACAAAAGUUGAGAACCACUGAAAUUACUAUUUUCAACGAAAACAACGAAAUACGAUUCGAAAUCGUUUAUAUGUUAUAUAGGUAACUUGCUGAAUUGGGCUUUAUGGUCGUGUUCUUGGUAAACCAAAUCGCGAAACAACCCGCAUGGCGUUUACCGAUCCGGUGAUUGGUCGAGCAAGUGCGUUGAACUGUCUACGAUUGCGUCGUACUAUAUCUCUUUCUCUUUUUCUUUCUCUUUCUCUCUCUUUCAUCGACAAGUGUCUCGACGACGAUAUAAUACCGGAUCGUUGGUAGUACCGGAUCGACCAUCCUUCCGCUCGAUCGCCCUCUCUCGAGUGAGAGUAACCUACUGACCUCUCUUUUCCCUUACCACACUCUGUCCCCCUUUUUCUCUCUUUUUCUUUCAUUCUUUUUCUGCUUUUCUUCCUCGAUUCUAACUAUGUAAUCGGUACAAUCGAUUUUUAUACAAUCUAACAGAUAUACCACUGGAUACUUAUAAUACUGUAAUCAUUAUCUUGAAAUUAUACGUAUUGUAAAUAAUACAAAAAUUGUUCAUCUUGAAAAAUGAACAAAUUUGUCUUACAAGGAGAGUGCAAGGUCUUGCCCUCACAGAUUUUGUUCAAAUUUUGUAGGAUGAUAGAUUUUGUUUCCCUGUUCACGAAUAUAUAUGAUUAUAAGGGCUAUUACUCAAUAAUUUUUUAGAUAUUUGCAAUUAAAGAUGCUAAAGAUGCUAUUUAGUCCUUAAAUUCAGUUCUGUAGCAUAUGAUUGUAUGUAAUGGGUUUAGUGUAGUGACAACGGUUCGGCAUUCCGUGCCGUUAGAAGCCGAGUCGGGUUCGGGUUCGAAUCCGGGAAAAGGGGGGGGGGGAGGUCUUUUUUUGUCUAUUUUUUCAUAUAAAGAUACCUAAUGGAGUUUAAAUAAGUUGAAAAUGAAAUGUCUUUAAUGACUAGAAAACUUAUGAGUUUUAUUUGUCAUUAUCAUUCGUAUAAAUACAGAAUGAUAUAAAAAUAAUAAAAAACAAUAAUAAAAUGAAAAAUAGUAAUAAUUUAGGGAAAAAAAAAUUACUUGGCAUGGAUUUGAACCAUAACGACCCCGGCUUCUUACAUUUCUGGCGACCGAACGAACCGUUGCCGUUAUGCCAGACCCAAUACUUACAAUAGUAUAUUACAGAAAUGAAUUUAAGGACUCAAUAGCAUCUUUAGUAUCUUUAAUUGCAAAUAUCUAAAAAAAAAUUAUUGAGUAGUGGCCCCUAUAACCAUAUAUAUUCGUGAAUAGGGAAGCAAAAUCUAUCAUCCUAAAAAAUUUGAACAAAAUCCGUGAGGCCAAGACCUUGCACUCUCCUUGUUAGGAAAAAUAAAAAUAAUAAAAAAUAAAUAUAAUUUUGAACACACAAUGUCAAAAGAAUAUAACAAGUAUCAUUUAAAAACUUUCUAAAGGAUUUUAGAUUACAAUCGCUCAGUAUCGUUUCUGAAGACUCACUCCAAAAGAUAUAAUACCUCGCGAAGGGAAAUACAAGCAUGCGUUUUUGUAGUUUGCUUUGUUCGAGGUCAAUGAUUACAUGCACACAUAUACAUAACUAUAUAAAAUAUACAUUUAAAAAGUAUAAUGUUCCAGACCGCGAAACAAUGAUGUAUAUAACCGUGCUAGACCCCCUUUUUUUAUUUUUCCUCUAUCUCGACUGGCUUUCAUACAAUCCCGAGGAGAAUCGUUUAUGUAGACGGUAUUAUUCAGUGUCUUUCUCUCUCUCUCUUUUUUUUUUUUACUUGAAUAGUAGUAUGUCAUAAAUCUCAAGCUCGAUCUCGAACCGUCAAAAAGUUGAGUUUGCCGGCAGACCUUCAACCCUUCCCCUACUAUUUCUACUUCUACAUCAUCACCACCACCGAUACCACCUACUCCUUUCACGAUGAUUUAUCACUCGAACAAUAGAAAGGAAAAAGAAUGUUCUUGUAACGAGAAGCAAUAAAGUCGAACUUUAUUACCAAACAGAUUUUCUCUAUCGUUAGACGCCAUUUUUAUUUUCUAGUAUUCUAUCUUACUACAUUUUGUUUUAUUCUUAACAGGUAUACCUUAUAAAAAUCCUAAGUUUUAUUAAAUAAAAGUCAAGUUCACGUGCGUAUAAAAUCCGUGAGAAACAUUCGAUUAUUUAAUGAUUUUUAUCAGUAAUCUGAGUUCUUCAUUUUAGGGUGUUAAUAUUUUAAACAAUUAAUUGUAAACUAUACGAAUUCAUAAAACUACUUUUCUUAUUAAUGUUUACAUAUUAAAAAUGAAGAUGUCUGUUAUUAUGAUACAUAACAUAUAAUAAUAAUAAAAGAAUCCGGAAAAUCAGUAUAAAGAUAAAUCUCAAGUAUACUUGCAAACGCAAUGCAACUAGUAUCAGCAAACAUGCAACUCAGCGAGAUCAACUGCGUUGGGACUUUAUUAAAAUAAUCAUGAAUGAAAAUGUUUGUCAUCAUGUAGUAAUCCAGGAAAAAUCAGUGUUUCAAUAAAUCACAAACAUAUUUCUUAUGAUCAAAUUCAAAUCCUAAAGGAUAUGCUAUUUUAUUGUGUGGAGAAUCAAAAUAAUCGUUUCGUGCAAACAAGUAACCUGAAGUAGAACAAUUACUUCAGGCUACUAUUAUAAUUAUUAAAAAUAGAAAAAGGUUUAUAAUCGCACGUAGUAACGUAAUAGGCAAAGAAUCCGGAAAAUAAGUGUCCAGAUAAAUCUCAAGAAUACUUCCCAAGCAGAAAUCCAACUAACAAACGUCAGCAAACAAGCAAGCAGGCAAGCAAUGCGUGCUCGCACGUUUAAUCGUCGAACCGGUGAGAGUGGCUAUAAUCUUAGAGAGAGAGAGAAAGAAAGAGAGAGACAGAAAUAUAGAAACUGUGUAGCGCAUUCCCCUUUUUGGUCUCCGCUAAGUUUCGACGUGUCUUUGACUCGAUCUAACGGUUCUUUACUUUCGUCCUUGAGCCUCAAAAGAAGAAGAAGAAGAAGAAGGAAUAGUAAGUCCCACGCACGUGCCGAUAUCGGUCUCGGCAUCAACAUGAUUACCAACCGAGCACGAUGACCUAUUUUGAGUUUUAAACUGGUAACGUGAGUUUGACGCCAAACACAUCCGCGUCAUCUUCAAAUCCUUCCACCAAUAAUCGUCGAUCUAACGGACCGAUUCCGAUCGUAUUUCCUUCGUUUAACUACGUAGAAAUAGGUCUCUACGGUAUGAGAUUGAUCUUUUUUUGUUUUUUUUUGUUUCCUUACUCUUUUUUACUUUGUCCAUCUUCCUAUCCAACAUCAGAAUCAUCCGGGUGAACGGUACUUGCUGUUUACAGAUCGAUUAUCGCGAGUCCUGUUCGCUCGCGCUUGAAAAAUCUAACCAGUUCGCUUUAUCGUCCUUUUUUUUUUACUCUUUCAUCCGUUCUAAAAAACUUCUAU